rnacentral:rRNA from 1 species
AUUGAACGCUGGCGGCAGGCCUAACACAUGCAAGUCGAGCGGAUGAAGGGAGCUUGCUCCUGGAUUCAGCGGCGGACGGGUGAGUAAUGCCUAGGAAUCUGCCUGGUAGUGGGGGAUAACGUCCGGAAACGGGCGCUAAUACCGCAUACGUCCUGAGGGAGAAAGUGGGGGAUCUUCGGACCUCACGCUAUCAGAUGAGCCUAGGUCGGAUUAGCUAGUUGGUGGGGUAAAGGCCUACCAAGGCGACGAUCCGUAACUGGUCUGAGAGGAUGAUCAGUCACACUGGAACUGAGACACGGUCCAGACUCCUACGGGAGGCAGCAGUGGGGAAUAUUGGACAAUGGGCGAAAGCCUGAUCCAGCCAUGCCGCGUGUGUGAAGAAGGUCUUCGGAUUGUAAAGGACUUUAAGUUGGGAGGAAGGGCAGUAAGUUAAUACCUUGCUGUUUUGACGUUACCAACAGAAUAAGCGCCGGCUAACUUCGUG